ACUAGUCGAGGCUCACAUCAGGCUUGGGAAUGUGCAAAGAGCUUCUGCAAUUCGAUUGACCCCCACCCACCGAGUGACACAGAGCCUCCCCCAGCACAGCAGAGUCUGUGUCCAGCCUCUGACUGCAAGCGAAACUCCAUUGGAUGAUCCGAAGAAUGCAGCAGCUGGAAUCCCAUCAUCAAGUCCAGGCACACUGAUGGCAGGAUCUUCCUGUUCUGCUUCUUCUAAGAAGAGAU